AUUGCGAAGAGAAAGCGUGAGGGCUGGGCCUGCGGCGGGCUUUAGGGAGUGGUCCCUGGCUGUGGAUAGAUCUGCUGAUGAGUCCAGGCCCCGGUCCAUUCUCCUCGCGCUGCAAGGAUGCUCCUGGGAUUUCGGAGAGGCCGCAGGAGUCAUUUCAAACAGGGUCUCGCUCUGUCGCCCAGGCUAGAGUGCAGUGGUGCGAUCAUAGCUCACUGCAUCCUCGAACUCCUGGGCUCAAGCGAUCUUCCCACCCCAGCCUCCCGAGGAGCUGAGACUACAGGCGCGCGCCACUACUCCCGGCUAAUUGUUCAAUAUUUUUGUGGAAACAGGGAUCUUGCUAUGUUCCUAUGGUGGUCUUGAGCUCCUUAGCCUCCUAAAGUGUUGGUAUCACAGGCGUGAGCCACUGUGCCCGGCGUUAACAAUCUUCUGCCCCAGGGUCGGCCACAGUUGGACAGGAGCACCCUGCCUCCCCUGUAGCAUUCGUCCCCGUGCCCGGAGUUAACUCCUGGACGACGUACACCUGCUGCACUGCUGGAUAUAGCCAUUCUUCAUUUUUCCCUCCUCCACCCACCAUGUACACCCCAUCAGCAAGUCCCAUCCGAUAUACCCACUACAUACAUCUGCCAGCUGUUCCCAUCUCCACCCACACCCCGGCCUCCAGCAUCUGUCUGGACUGCUGCGGCAGAUCCUCACUGGUUUCUCUGCUUCCACUCUCGCCCUUCCCCUAGGUCCAUUCUCCACGUAGCAGCCAAGGGGAUUCUUAUAUUUAUUUAUUAUUUAAUUUAGUUUUAGAGACAGGGUCUUGUCCUGAUGCCCAGGCUGGAGUACAGUGGCAUGAUCAUAGCUCACUGUGGCUUCAACCUCUUGGGUUCAAGUGAUCCUCCUGCCUCAGGCUCCUGAGUAGCUGGGACUACAGGUGUGCACCACCACACCUAGGUAUUUUUUAUUUAUUUUAUUUUUUGCCUCACACUCUGCCAAGUCUCAAUGCCUGGCUAAUUUUAAAAAUUAUUUUGUAGAGGCCACGUGAGGUGGCUCUCACCUGUAAUCCAGCACUUUGGGAGGCUGAGGCAGGCGGAUCAUUUGAGGUCAGGAGUUCAAGAUUAGCCUGGCCAACAUGGUGAAAACCCAUCUCUACUAAAAAUACAAAAAUUAGCGGGCGUGGUGGUGGGCACCUGUAAUCCCAGCUACACGGGAGGUUGAGGUGGGAUAAUCGCUUAAACCCGAGAGGCAGAGGUUGCAGUGAGCCAAGAUUGUGCCACUGCACUCCAGCCUGGGCGACAAAGCUAGACUCUGCCUCAAAAAAACAUAAUUUUUUUUUUUUGGUAGAGAUGGGGUCUGGGUAUGCUGCCCAGGCUGGUCUUAAACCUUGGCUCAAGCAAUCCUCUCACCUUGGCCUCCAGAGUGUUGGGAUUACAGGUGUGAGCCACUGCAUCUGGCUUGAGUUUUUAUUUAAAGCCCCAAACAUUAAUGAGUCCCUGCUGUGUGCUGAUACCCACAACUGACAGCUUAUGGCCACACGGUCUGUAGGAUAGACAAGCCCAUAAAUAAUUCUGUACACAAUGGUAAAACAAGAACUGCUGUUGAUGUGUGUACCAGAAGGGCAGUGACGUCAGCCUGGAGAGUUGGCCUGGGCCUGGCAGGGAGUAAGGAAAGAAUUCUGGGUGCAGAAGACAGCAAAUACCAAGGCCUAAAAAAGAAUGAAUUAUUUGCUGUUUGGGAAAUGGAAGCCCACGCUGAGUGCUGAAGCACAGGGACUCUGCGCAGGAAGAGGAGGGGAAGCAAGAAAUGAAUUUGGGUCCUUGUGAUGGCAGUGGCUGCUGCCAUCACGCUGUGUGGCUAGGGCUGCACACUUCAUGGAGCCGGUGGAAGCCCCGUCCCUCAUGAGUUGGGACUGGAGCCGCAAACCGCUGCUGCAGACCCAGGCCUUCUGCUCUAUGGAGCAGGCAGGAGCCCCACCCUCUUGGGCAGGGCUACAGCCACCCAAACUGCAGCUGUGGAUCCGAGCCUCUCUGCUCCUGGGGGAGCCGGGAACAGGCAGAAUUUGCCCUUCCAGAUGCAGCUGCAGCCGCGCAGGCAGGAGCCAGGGACAAGUGGGAGCCCUGCCUCUUCCAAGUUGGCGGGGUGGGAGCUCCCAGGUGCAGCUGUGGCUGCCCCCCCAGGCACAGGACGAGGGCAUCUCUGUAGCCUGCACCAUCGGCCAUCCCAGGAAGGACAGCCCCCUUCACCCUCCAUCCCUGCAGGCUCAGGGGUGUCUGCUUCCACUGCCUGGCCUCUCUCCACUCCAGCAACUGCUCUGAUCUUGGAGGGGAGUCGGAGCCAAGACCUGCAGCCAUGAAUGGCAGCAGGAGGAAGGGGGUGGGGUCCCCAGUAAGGCCCCACCCUCAGGCCAGGGAGGGCCUGAAUUCUGGGGGCUGGGCUGCCAGUCCCUCUGACCAGAGUGGAAACUCGUGGAGCCUUUUCUGGGCCUGCCAAUGGCCCAAUCAGCACACACUUCUUCCCCGCUGAGGUCCAUAAAAACCCUGGGCUCAGCCAGAGCAGCGCAGAGAAUAGCCAGAGGAUGAAGAUGGUAGAGACGAGGGGACAGGAUGACCAGCUGCAGAGAGCAGUACCCUCUCUGCUGAUAGCUGGAGACGGUGGGGUGACCAGCUACAGAGAGGAGUACCUUCUCCGCUGAAAGCUACAGAGACCACCUGCCAGCAGAGAGGAGCUACACUCUGCUGCGAGCUUCAGAGACCUGCAGAGACAUUGGAAUGACUUGCCUGCGGAGAGGAGCCACUCUCUCCAGGGCCUCCUCUCUGUUGAGAGCUGAAUGGUUGAGCUCAUGGGACAAUCUGUCUCCAGAGAGGAGCUACCCACUCCUCUGAGCUCUUCUAACACUAAAUAAAACUCCUCUUCACCCUUCA
rnacentral:lncRNA from 1 species